rnacentral:lncRNA from 1 species
CUGCACAUUGCUUGCGACGGUUCUUUUCUCACUCGCCGGCCCGAGACCUCUCCCCUUCCUACCCUGCAUCAACUGCAGCUGGUCUGCGGCAGGCAGGGUGUGAGGGGUUCCUGGCGGAAAACAAACGUCUACUGGGAGCUGCUGGGUUUGGGCCAGUUUGUUAGGCAGCACAGGCGACAGACAGGUGCCUGCAGAGCCUCUUUCCCUACACGAAAUCUCCAAGUACAGCUCUCAUGCCGUGCUUCCAAGACUGUGGGAGCAACCGACGAGGCCCAGCCCACAGCCCCACCUGACAAGACUGCCCCUCGACCUGGAUCACUCCUCACUCUGGCCACACCUGCCCAGGGCAGGGGGAGGGGCCGCUUGAGUCAAACCCGGAAUGAGCAGGGCAACUCCAGAACCCUCUCCCAUCAGCUGGCAUUGGGUAUGACACGGGACAUCGCAGGUCUACCUGGUCCCCACCAGAACGAGAGGGAGCUGGCUGAAGCCUGCAGCUGCGCACCCUCUGCAGAAUGGAAGUGAGUACUUCCACGCCAUGUCUCGGCUCCUGGGGCAGCUGCCACCCGCGGCCUGCAGUUCAGGUCCCGGUCCCCCUGCCACAGCCCCAAGCAGG